UACAGAGGGUGCAAGCGUUGUUCGGAAUUACUGGGCGUAAAGCGCGUGUAGGCGGUUUGGCAAGUCAGACGUGAAAUCCCUCAGCUUAACUGAGGAACUGCGUCUGAUACUGCCAGACUAGAGUGUCGGAGGGGAUGGUGGAAUUCCCCGGUGUAGAGGUGAAAUUCGUAGAUAUCGGGAGGAACACCCGUGGCGAAGGCGACCAUCUGGAAGACAACUGACGCUGAGACGCGAAAGCGUGGGUAGCAAACAGG
rnacentral:rRNA from 1 species